UACGGAGGGAGCUAGCGUUGUUCGGAAUUACUGGGCGUAAAGCGCACGUAGGCGGCUUUGUAAGUUAGGGGUGAAAUCCUGGAGCUCAACUCCAGAACUGCCUUCGAUACUGGAAAGCUCGAGUCCGGGAGAGGUGAGUGGAACUGCGAGUGUAGAGGUGAAAUUCGUAGAUAUUCGCAAGAACACCAGUGGCGAAGGCGGCUCACUGGCCCGGUACUGACGCUGAGGUGCGAAAGCGUGGGGAGCAAACAGG
rnacentral:rRNA from 1 species